rnacentral:rRNA from 1 species
AAUAGAUACCCCGGUAGUCCAUGCCGUAAACGUUGGGCGCUAGAUGUGGGGACCAUUCCACGGUUUCCGUGUCGCAGCUAACGCAUUAAGCGCCCCGCCUGGGGAGUACGGCCGCAAGGCUAAAACUCAAAGGAAUUGACGGGGGCCCGCACAAGCGGCGGAGCAUGCGGAUUAAUUCGAUGCAACGCGAAGAACCUUACCAAGGCUUGACAUAUACGAGAACGCUCUAGAAAUAGAGAACUCUUUGGACACUCGUAUACAGGUGGUGCAUGGUUGUCGUCAGCUCGUGUCGUGAGAUGUUGGGUUAAGUCCCGCAACGAGCGCAACCCUCGUUCUAUGUUGCCAGCGGUUUCGGCCGGGAACUCAUAGGAGACUGCCGGGGUCAAACUCGGAGGAAGGUGGGGAUGACGUCAAAUCAUCAUGCCCCUUAUGUCUUGGGCUUCACGCAUGCUACAAUGGCCAGUACAAAGGGCUGCAAUACCGUAAGGUGGAGCGAAUCCCAAAAAGCCGGUCUCAGUUCGGAUUGAGGU